GGGUUAAGUCCGUAACGAGCGCAACCCUUGUCCUUAGUUACCAGCACGUUAUGGUGGGCACUCUAAGGAGACUGCCGGUGACAACCGGAGGAAGGUGGGGAUGACGUCAAGUCAUCAUGGCCCUUACGGCCUGGGCUACACACGUGCUACAAUGGUCGGUACAAAGGGUUGCCAAGCCGCGAGGUGGAGCUAAUCCCAUAAAACCGAUCGUAGUCCGGAUCGCAGUCUGCAACUCGACUGCGUGAAGUCGGAAUCGCUAGUAAUCGUGAAUCAGAAUGUCACGGUGAAUACGUUCCCGGGCCUU
rnacentral:rRNA from 1 species